UGAAAUCCAUUCCAGAAGGUUUUCAGUUACCAUCUACUUUUGGUCUUGAAAGUGCCCUUGAAGCAAAUUUGCAACCUAUGGAAGGUGACAAAGAAUUUCGUGCAAUAUUUUGGAACUACUUUAUUAUUGGAUUGGAUGUUGAAGAAUCUUUGCAGAAAAAGGAUGAAUGUUGUUGUAGUUGUUAUUUUAAGCCCCAGC